rnacentral:rRNA from 1 species
UAGCCCAGAGAAAUUUGGAUUAAUACCUUAUAGUAUCUUAAAUCAGCAUUGAUUAAAGAUUAAAGAUUUAUCGCUAUAAGAUGGCUAUGCGUUCUAUUAGCUAGUUGGUAUGGUAACGGCAUACCAAGGCGACGAUAGAUAGGGGUCCUGAGAGGGAGAUCCCCCACACUGGUACUGAGACACGGACCAGACUCCUACGGGAGGCAGCAGUGAGGAAUAUUGGACAAUGGAGGCAACUCUGAUCCAGCCAUGCCGCGUGUAGGAAGACUGCCCUAUGGGUUGUAAACUACUUUUAUAGAGGAAGAAACCGCUCGACGUGUCGACUCUGACGGUACUCUACGAAUAAGGAUCGGCUAACUCCGUGCCAGCAGCCGCGGUAAUACGGAGGAUCCAAGCGUUAUCCGGAAUCAUUGGGUUUAAAGGGUCCGUAGCGGGUUUGUAAGUCAGUGGUGAAAGUUUUCGGCUCAACCGGAAAAUUGCCAUUGAUACUGCAAGUCUUGAAUCAUUAUGAAGUGGUUAGAAUAAGUAGUGUAGCGGUGAAAUGCAUAGAUAUUACUUAGAAUACCGAUUGCGAAGCAGAUCACUAAUAAUGUAUUGACGCUAAGGGGACGAAAGCGUGGGUAGCGAACAGGAUUAGAUACCCUGGUAGUCCACGCCGUAAACGAUGGUUACUAGCUGUUCGGUUUUCGGG